GUUAAGAGCCGGCAACAAAAGACGGGCGACAUCGCGUCUUCGCGAGAACAUCUGCAAUUCUGCAUUUAUGUGCGAAUGCUGCAGCAAAAGUUCGGUUGCACCACAUCUCAAAAUCUGCAGUUCUGUUAAAGUUGGUACUACAGACAUAGUCACCAUGUAAUAAGAGGAUACCAAUGAC